AGAGUUUGAUCAUGGCUCAGAACGUACGCUGGCGGCACGCCUAACACAUGCAAGUCGAACGAAGUAGCAAUACUUAGUGGCAGACGGGUGAGUAACAUGUGGGUAUCUGCCCUUUGGCCUGGAAUAACACGAGGAAACUUGUGCUAAUACCGGAUAAGUCUUUACGGAGAAAGCUUUAUGCACCAUUGGAUGAGCCCGCACUUGAUUAGUUUGUUGGUGGGGUAAUGGCCUACCAAGACUAUGAUCAAUAGCUGAUUUGAGAGGAUGAUCAGCCACAUUGGGACUGAGACACGGCCCAAACUCCUACGGGAGGCAGCAGUGGGGAAUCUUGCACAAUGGAGGAAACUCUGAUGCAGCGAUGCCGCGUGAGUGAAGAAGGCCCUUGGGUUGUAAAGCUCUUUCGUCGGGGAAGAAAAUGACUGUACCCGAAUAAGAAGGUCCGGCUAACUUCGUGCCAGCAGCCGCGGUAAUACGAAGGGACCUAGCGUAGUUCGGAAUUACUGGGCUUAAAGAGUUCGUAGGUGGUUGAAAAAGUUAGUGGUGAAAUCCCAGAGCUUAACUCUGGAACUGCCAUUAAAACUUUUCAGCUAGAGUAUGAUAGAGGAAAGUAGAAUUUCUAGUGUAGAGGUGAAAUUCGUAGAUAUUAGAAAGAAUACCAAUUGCGAAGGCAGCUUUCUGGAUCAUUACUGACACUGAGGAACGAAAGCAUGGGUAGCGAAGAGGAUUAGAUACCCUCGUAGUCCAUGCCGUAAACGAUGUGUGUUAGACGUUGGAAAUUUAUUUUCAGUGUCGCAGCGAAAGCGAUAAACACACCGCCUGGGGAGUACGACCGCAAGGUUAAAACUCAAAUGAAUUGACGGGGACCCGCACAAGUAGUGGAGCAUGUGGUUUAAUUCGAAGAUACGCGCAGAACCUUACCAACACUUGACAUGUUCGUCGCGACUCUAAGAGAUUAGAGUUUUCGGUUCGGCCGGACGAAACACAGGUGCUGCAUGGCUGUCGUCAGCUCGUGUCGUGAGAUGUUGGGUUAAGUCCCGCAACGAGCGCAACCCUCACUUUUAGUUGCCAUCAUUAAGUUGGGCACUCUGAAAGAACUGCCAGUGAUAAGCUGGAGGAAGGUGGGGAUGACGUCAAGUCCUCAUGGCCCUUACGUGUUGGGCUACACACGUGCUACAAUGGUAUCUACAACAGGAAGCAAGACUGCGAGGUCAAGCAAAUCCUUAAAAGAUACCUCAGUUCGGAUUGCACUCUGCAACUCGAGUGCAUGAAGCUGGAAUUACUAGUAAUCGUGGAUCAGCGUGCCACGGUGAAUGCGUUCCCGGGUCUUGUACACACCGCCCGUCACACCAUGGGAGUUGGUUCUACCUUAAGGCAAGGUUUCAAACCCUUGACCACGGUAUAGUCAGCGACUGGGGUGAAGUCGUAACAAGGUAA
rnacentral:rRNA from 1 species